GUGCUGGGCUAUAACACGGGUGAUACAGUUUAUCUGGUCAGGUGCUGGGCUGUAACAGGGGCUAUAACAGGGGUGAUACAGUAUAUCUGGUCAGGUGCUGGGCUAUAACAGGGGCUAUAACAGGGGUGAUACAGUAUAUCUGGUCAGGUGUUGGCUAUAACAGGGGUGAUACAGUUUAUCUGGUCAGGUGUUGGGCUAUAACAGGGGCUAUAACACGGGUGAUACAGUUUAUCUGGUCAGGUGUUGGGCUAUAACAGGGGUGAUACAGUUUAUCUGGUCAGGUGUUGGGCUAUAACAGGGGCUAUAACAGGGGUGAUACAGUAUAUCUGGUCAGGUGCUGGGCUAUAACAGGGGCUAUAACAGGGGUGAUACAGUUUCUGGUCAGGUGUUGGGCUAUAACGGGGGUUUUACAGUUUCUGGUCAGGUGCUGGGCUAUAACAGGGGCUAUAACAGGGGUGAUACAGUAUAUCUGGUCAGGUGUUGGCUAUAACAGGGGUGAUACAGUUUAUCUGGUCAGGUGCUGGGCUAUAACAGGGGCUAUAACAUGGGGCUAUUAAUAUGGUUGAAUCUGGAAACUAUCAUCUCGAAAACAAAAGUUUUUUUCUUUCAG
rnacentral:lncRNA from 1 species